rnacentral:lncRNA from 1 species
AUGGCUUUGAGCCUAACAAAGGGUUUAGACUCCUCCGCCUGCCAGAACAGUGAUUCCACCUCUCUUGGAACAGUCAUAUCUGCUGAGAAGUUUAAGGAAGGAACCUUGAGAAAGCAUCAGAGGUGGCUUUGGAGGUGGAAUCUGAAGAAACUAGAGGAGAGAAGAAAGGAAGAAUGGAUUACAAAAGAUGAGCAAGAUGCCUGGAAUUUCACACGUACAUCAUCUCUUUGGGUCACAGAGAAAGCCAUGCUUGAUUAACACUGAGGAUUCGCGUGUGACCUAUGGCUGGUGUCCAAUGACUUCUCCCAUUUUCAGAACACUUCUGUAAUGUUUCCGUCAGUGGUGAAUAUAUGACAUCCAAGGAAAGGUGAGGCCCUGACACUAAGAGGAAUACAAUGACCAGUCCAAGAGGACAACCCAGAACUGGACUUCUGGGGCCUGACUGAACUGGAUUGAGGUAUCGGACACGCUUUUACAGAGGCUAUUUAGGAGGUAGAUUUUAUGAGCCUCAUUUUGCCAAUGAUAACACUAGGGCACAGAGAGGUUCAGCAACCCGCCCAAGGCCACACAGCCAGGAAGGAGCAGGAUCUGACCCCAGGCUGCCUGACUCCGGAGCCCAUGCUUGCAAACAUUCGUAAUCCCUGCUGAAUGAUUUCAGCUCUCCUGCUGUCUUCCCCCACCUCACUGUCUCGCGAUGGACAUUCACAUUUCCCGGCUGGCCCAGAAGCUGCGAUAGGGUGUUAUGAGCUGUUAGCUUAAGAGGGGUGAAGCCCUGUGAAAAGAAAACACACUUGCUCCCCUUCCUCAGCUGCGCUGGUCUUUCCUCCAGCUGAUCUUUCUCCUGUUAUAUAAAUGGAAUGUUAUACAAAUGUUUCCACCAUGAGUUUCCUUUCAAAAGAUGAA